GCGCCCAUAGCUCAGCCGGACAGAGCAGCUGCCUUCUAAGCAGCGGGCCGGGGGUUCAAGUCCCUCUGGGCGCGCCA
rnacentral:tRNA from 1 species